rnacentral:rRNA from 1 species
AAUGAACGCUGGCGGCGCGCCUAAUACAUGCAAGUCGAGCGAGAAGACGUAGCAAUACGUUUGUAAAGCGGCGAACGGGUGAGGAAUACAUGGGUAACCUACCCUCGAGUGGGGAAUAACUAGCCGAAAGGUUAGCUAAUACCGCGUACGCUUCUUGGACUUCGGUUCAGGGAGGAAAGCGAUACCGUGGGUAUCGCGCUCUUGGAUGGGCUCAUGUCCUAUCAGCUUGUUGGUGAGGUAACGGCUCACCAAGGCUUCGACGGGUAGCUGGUCUGAGAGGACGAUCAGCCACACUGGCACUGCGACACGGGCCAGACUCCUACGGGAGGCAGCAGUAAGGAAUAUUGCGCAAUGGGCGAAAGCCUGACGCAGCGACGCCG